UAUGGAAGCUUGAUAUUACUCGUACUACUAUGCUUCUCUUGUCAGAUUUUGGUUCGGUCCUUCAUAAAAUCAAGAUAUCAGAGGAGCAAAGAAAAUAUUUUAUUGAUAACACGGAGCCCCUGGUAGCAUUUGCUUCCGCUCUUUGUUAUCCUUUGUGAUAGUUGGCAUUACAGAGCUUGUUUCCUGAGUUCUGAGUACAAUUUAGCCAAGUCAGUUGCAAGCUUACCAAUUAUAUAAAAAUUGAUCCGCAGGGCCAUUUUCAUAUAAGAUUUGAGUUCAGGCUGGUACUUGGAGCUCAGCCAAACCAGGCUGACUUAGCUGAGUCAGCAAGAGCAUGUUGAAUGCCUUCAAGGCUGGUGGGGAUUUCUAUUCAAGGAUGGCAAUGAAUAUGUACCCACAUAUUCGCAAGGCUGUAGAGGGAAAAGGGGUGUUGCUUGAAUGGUAGCCUCAACCCGGGGAAGACAGACCUCCAGUUCCUCUAUUAAAGGAUGCCUUUGCUUUUGAGAGAUGAAAAGCGAAAAUGCUCAACUUCUCUAUUGCAUAUGGGAAAACUCCUGCUGGGCUGGCCCGUGAUUGUAAGUGGUGCUACCAAAGAUCAUGAAGGCAACGGGGUAAGAAAUAAUUAACGAAGGUAAGGAAAACCACUUCACUUUUGAACUUUGGUUGCUGUUUAUUUUCCUUGUGGAAAUUGUACCUUGCAUGAGGAAGGAACAUGUCU